UAGUUUCGUCCGAGUUGCGUAGUUUAUGACAUUAUGCUAAUCGAAUUUAAUGUUGAGUUCGUAAUGUGUGUAUCAUAAUGAAGUCCAAAGAUUGAGUUUUGAUCGCAUGAUUUGUCUCCAGAGCAAUUCUCCUUUAUCUAUGCAAACCUAGCUCAAAAUUAUACUUGGUACAUUUUUUUCUUGAUGUAGUAAGGAGAUUUCUUAGAAGGCAUCAAGAAGAUGCAACGCAAAAAAAAUUUACAUCAAAAGGGGACUGCUCCUGUACAAGAAUUUACUAGAUAACUAAAGAGUAGAUGAAGUCCAAAGAAGAUCAACUGUGGUUACAGGGUCCUGGUUGAACCAACUAUAUAAGAAGACUAAACAGUUGGAUUUAAGAAUGUGAUGCUUUCCUGGAGUCAUUUUAGCCCAGUUCAAAGCUCCUUUAUCAGUGUAGAGCUAUGUAUGAGACAACAACAACAUACCCACUGUUAUCACGCAAGUUGGAUCUGUGGAGGUAGCAUGUACGCGUACCUUAUCCCUACCUUGUAAGGCUAUGUAUGAGAAUUAGAAAAAAAAAUCUAGUUUUGAAGGUCCGUACUUUACUUUAAAGAACACAUUAUGAAGUGUUGUAAUGAAGUUACUAGCCUCACUAGAUAACAUUUAUUCAUGUACAGAAUAUUUCUUGAGUAGCAUCUUGUUUGAAUUUAUACGAUUAUGGUUAGAUUCUUA